rnacentral:rRNA from 1 species
UACGUAGGGGGCAAGCGUUGUCCGGAUUUAUUGGGCGUAAAGAGCGUGUAGGCGGCCAUGCAGGUCCGUUGUGAAAACUCGAGGCUCAACCUCGAGACGCCGAUGGAAACCGCAUGGCUAGAGUCCGGAAGAGGAGAGUGGAAUUCCUGGUGAAGCGGUGAAAUGCGCAGAUAUCAGGAAGAACACCCGUGGCUAAGGCGGCUCUCUAGUACGGUACUGACGCUGAGACGCGAAAGCGUGGGGAGCGAACAGG